UGGGGAAUCUUCCGCAAUGGACGAAAGUCUGACGGAGCAACGCCGCGUGAGUGAAGAAGGUUUUCGGAUCGUAAAACUCUGUCUUUUGGGGCGAACGUGAGUAUGGUGAACAAUCAUAGUCAGUGACGGUACCAAAGGAGGAAGCCACGGCUAACUACGUGCCAGCAGCCGCGGUAAUACGUAGGUGGCAAGCGUUGUCCGGAAUUAUUGGGCGUAAAGAGCGCGUAGGCGGGAUAGUCAGUCUGUUGUAAAGUGCGGGGCUCAACCCCGUGAUGGCAAUGGAAACAGCUAUUCUUGAGGUGCAGGAGAGGAAAGUGGAAUUCCCAGUGUAGCGGUGAAAUGCGUAGAUAUUGGGAGGAACACCAGUGGCGAAGGCGACUUUCUGGACUGUGUCUGACGCUGAGGCGCGAAAGCCAGGGGAGCGAACGGGAUUAGAUACCCCGGUAGUCCUGGCCGUAAACGAUGGGUAC
rnacentral:rRNA from 1 species